UGUGGUGGUGAAGGCGAAGAGGUCACACCUGUUCCCAUGCCGAACACAGCAGUUAAGCUCUUCAGCGCCGAUGGUAGUCGGGUAGAUCCCCGUGAGAGUAGGACGCUGCCACGU
rfam:Halobacillus sp. BAB-2008 contig31, whole genome shotgun sequence.